GUUGAAGUUUAGCAACUGCUCACGCUUGCAAGGCGUGGAGCGAUGGCAGUAUCGCGAGGAGUAGAUGCCGAGCCACGGCCAGUCUCUGUUUUAAAAAGGGUUCUGUUGGAGACCUUGACCUGGAGUUACACGCUGACUCUGGUUCUUUGGCGGGAAUGGGACCUGCUCUUGGGGUUUCACAACUACCCAUGGCUCAGCAUGCCAAGGGCUUGGCCUAAGAGUUCAGCUCAUCUUCGGAGGGCCGAGAUCUCGUGGCUCUGGAGACGGGCAGAUCGAAGGUCGGUGUCAUGACAGGAGGAGGGAGAUCUACAACUGUGUGCCCAGAGACCUGAGAUCUUUGGGCACGGAGCUCGCAAAAAGGGACGCAAUGGAAUUUUAACUUCGUAAACCAGUUCAUGUCAAACUACAUGAGGACUGAUAUUACUCGCAUCAUCAAGCAGUAAUACAUUACAUUAAGCAGUAAAUGUAGAUGAUAAGAUUCUGCCCAAGACCAUCCCCAACAAGGUCAAAGCUGCACUGGGACAGGUGAUUCAGCUGGAUCAGACGUGUGAGACAUGGCAGGAAAAGCUUUGAGAGCCUUCCGCUGAUCAGGGAAACACGGGAUGGAGGAGUAGAUGUGUGCUUGGUCAGUUUCAACCAGAAAAAGGCCUGCAACAGGAUAUCACACAUAUACCUGUUGGGAUUUGCUCUCCAAAAUAUAUUUUGGUUAAGGAAACAGGAAUUGGAUCUAAUUGCUGUGCAUAGAUAGCUUCCCCAUCAAGUCUGCAAUCAGUCAAGGGAGUCCACAGUCCCCUAUCUUAUCGUGUGAGACACAGAACCCUUUGUUAAAUCCAUCAGGAAGAACAAGAGCAUGAGAAGGUGAGGUCACCAGGCAGUGGAGGCACGCGAGUCAAAACCUCCCUGUACAUGGACAACAAUGCCAUCCUCUGCUGAGAUCCAAGGCCAGUUCACAGGUUGAUUAGCAUCCGCAACCACUCUGCAUGGGCAUCAGGGGUCAAAGUCAACUGCUGUAACAGUGAGACCAUGCUCCUUGGCAACUGAUCUGACUGACCCCCUCACCAUCUGGUCUGACUACCUGAAGGUGCUAGGGAUAUGGUUUGGAGGGGCUGUGACGUGUAACAAAAAGCGGCUGGAGCAGAUUGGAAAGGUCAGACAAAAAUAGGGACUAUGGAAACAGCACUCCCUUCCAAAUAAGUUGGAAGUACUCGGUCAUCAGGGAUGACGUGCUCUUGAGGCUGCCAUACUGGCAGAGAUUUGGUCUAUCUUCCAUUCUUCCAUCUUAGUAAUCACCCGGGCCAUCUUCCAGUUCAUCUGGAUUCAACAGACCACAAUGCACAUCCCCAGAGAAUGAGGGAAAGAUGUACCUAAUGUUGCCCUCAUCCUGAGGACCAUUUUCGUGCGUGGCUACAUCAUGGUGUGUGUGGAACCAAAGUACUUGAGCAUCACACAGAAAAUGCUGGAGGAACUCAGCAAGCCAGGCAGCAUCUAUGGAAAAGAGUAACCAUUCAACGUUUCGGGCUGAGACCCUUCAUCAGGACUGAGCAGACAUGAGCAUCAAGUGUCAUUAUGUGCUGAGCUUCUACUAUCUCCAGUGUUGUAGAGAAUAGGUCUGGCCCUGCUGCCAAACAAUGUCCCAGUCAGAAGGACAUUACCACACUACCUGCCUCUUUUGGAAAAGUUCUACCAAGCUAACAGUUUUGAUUACAAAGCAUUAGGUAGUGGUCAGCACAGAACAUCCUGCAGACACCACAGGACAAUGAUUCUGUGUCCUAAUCAUCUGGCAGAAUGCUCUGUCACCAGAACUCACCAGCAAGCACCAAGAGCUUACUUGGCUGGCAGUGAGGGUCCUCAAAAUCAGAUCCUUCCUGUACAGUCAAAAUAUCAUCCCAAUGCACCCUGCCCUCAGGACGGCUAUGGUGGGGAAGAGAUAAUCACCUAUCUCUUGGCAGACAGUGAAUUUGCUAAAAUGGCAAAUUCUCUGUUGGAGAAUGUUGCUGACUGGCACAUUUCAGACUGCUGGAGUACCUGUUGACAGGCAGAUUGAAGCUUGGUGCAACUGGUACAAGAGCUCUGCAGGGAGAGACCAUAGUCUAGACUGCUUCUACUACUGGACAUGGAAGGGAUGAGUCAACUGGGGAAACUCCUUAAACAAUGAAAGGAUGUAUCACCCAAAGGUCGGGGGGGGGGUGCGGAUUCACAUGACUGGCAAUGGUGCUAUGGUUUUAAGUAAAGUACUUCCGUAUGUAUUGAUCAAAUGACAAUAAGAAUGUAAACAGUUUUUUUGUAGGCUUUUAUCCUUGUGUAUAAAUUUUAUAACGAGUGAAGCUUAGUUCUGAAAAAAAAGGUGCUUUGUUCUCUCUUAAGGCUGUGUACACUCACAAGGGCAAAGACUAAAUUCUUUAUGUGCGAUUUUUGAUAGUUUACUCUCCUGGGCUACCCUUUCACAUCCAUGUUAAAUCAUAACAUUUGCAAAGCCUCUAUCUACAUGCACUUCGUAAUCAGCAAAAUUGAUUAAUUUUUACACUUUCCUUCCAAAAUCCAGAGAGGCUGAGGUUAAUUGCAUCAACUGAACUCAUGCUUUAUCUCAAACGAGCUAACGCAGAACAAAUGGGGAUUUGAAACCUGGAACAUCUUACUGAAUGUUAGAUAUGAAUGAAAUGAUCUUAUUGACAAUAUUAAUAUGAUUUCUUAUACCUGAUUUAAAAAACAUUGGGAAAAAGUUCCAAGAUUUAUAGUCUGUUGUCCAGCGGAUAUCAUUUUCAAUGUAAUUUGAGCGAGGAGGGGUGGGCCCAGGACCCUUGCUGAAACGUGCACCUUGGAAACUGAGUGGCGGAGUUACGGUAUUCAGACUGACAUUUUUUAAUUAAUUAUGUUUCUCUCUUCAGAGAUGCUGUUUAACCUGCUAAAUAGCUCCAGCAAUUUUCUGUCUUUAAUGUUACACUGCCAGCAUCUUAAGUUUUUCUUUUGAUUUUCAGAGUUAGCUUUGGAUUUGAGACUUCCACUGCCAAAUGCUUCAAUGACACUUGAUGUUGGCAUUUAUACAUCAUUAUUUGCUGUUUCAUUGCCUCUGCUUGUGGAUCAUAGUGUGCUUAUCAUGGCCAUGACAAGACAAUGAGAGAACUUGAAUUGUGUCUCGCUGAUUUGUGAUUAGUGAGUGAUGUAGAA